UAAUUAUAGCAUUUCCUUUUAUUAAAGAUGUGUUUUGCUGAACACUGCUAGACAGUGGAUGUGUUUUAUACAGUUUGCUUUUAUAAUGGAUUCAUAAUACUAUAAUCUUAUUUAAUUUUCAUACCUGUAAAAGAUAAGUUCCUUAAAUGCUAUAAAAGAACAAGAAGAAGCUAUAAAAUUAGGUAAGUCACCAGGUCAGACUACAAAGGCCAUGCUCUUUCUGCUCUCCUGUUCCAUUUUUCAUAAACCUGGGAACUUUAUCUCUUCUUUAUCCUGUUCAACACCUAUUAAAUUUAUUCAGAGAGUGACAAUUACUUCAAACCUCUUUAAGAGCUUAUCUAGUUAUUUACAUAUGAGACAGCAUGGAAGCGGUAAUAUACCACAACCAGAGUCAGGCAAUACAAACAGGUAGACUUAAUCUUGUCCUCCCCAAAGUGUCACUCACCUCUAUUGGGACCCCUUGCAAGCAUAAACACAUUUUUGGACCUUCAGUUGUGCCAACACCACUAGUAUUUACAUAUGGUUAAACAGAAAACAUAAGGCUAAAAUCAAAUAUGUAUUCCACUACAUCU
rnacentral:lncRNA from 1 species